rnacentral:rRNA from 1 species
UACGGAGGGUGCAAGCGUUAUCCGGAUUCACUGGGUUUAAAGGGUGCGUAGGUGGGUCUGUAAGUCAGUGGUGAAAUCUCCGAGCUUAACUCGGAAACUGCCAUUGAUACUAUAGAUCUUGAAUUAUCUGGAGGUUAGCGGAAUAUGUCAUGUAGCGGUGAAAUGCUUAGAUAUGACAUAGAACACCGAUUGCGAAGGCAGCUGGCUACAGGUAUAUUGACACUGAGGCACGAAAGCGUGGGGAUCAAACAGG